GGUGAAGCGUUGAGAGUUGGACUUUGAGCGUCUGUCGGCGUGCGCGGCUUGCUCGAAAUGCAUUAGCUGGAUCAUAUGGCUUCUGUGCUGGCGUGAUAAGUCUUGAUCGUCGCGUCGGAGCUUGAUUUGCUUCCAAUCGUCUUUGGACAAUCUAUUGAUCUUUACACCUCAACUCGAGUAGGAUUACCCGCUGAACUUAA
rnacentral:misc_RNA from 1 species